CCCCCCCGAGAUGGCGAGGGGGCUACCGGUGGGGUCCCCGAACGGCACGCGGGCGAACGGACAAAGACAACGGUUUGGUUGGCACUACUGACCACUGUUUGGUAAGGUUAGGGAGAGUGACCUAUGGACGAAUGGCCAGAACACAAAAAGAAGAAGACCAUGGGCGUUGUGACCGUGGUCGGGAAGCCAAAAAGUGAGGUUAUGUGGGCCUGGAUGUCCCUUUAUUCAUCUACAUGCAAGGCCAGGUAGGCAAUGGUAAUCGCGCAUAAAGUCGAGAUACGUAGAAUAGAGCUCUGGGUUUCGAGAAAGACGGUUUUCCAGCGACAACAAGCUAAGAUUCUGGGUGUUUAAAGGGUAGGGAUGCGAUAAAUCUACCACUCUUGUUCCUGCGGGUCGUAUUUGCGAAAAUAGUCUCACACCUUUCGUCCUCCGGGGAAGCGGGAUGCUUAGUCGUUUCUAAAGCAGAUGGAUGACCGGACGCACCUGGGAUGCGUCCAGCGAGUAGGAUUUGACCAGUUAAUCGCCAAUUACAAGAUCUACAACACCGGGAAUAUGGUAAUUGCGGUCAGCCAACUCCAGAUUUUUUAAAUUUUCUCUGCCAGCGUUAUUGGAUUGCAGGUCUGUCAGUACAUAGCUGUGGUACGACAAUGGCAUCGAACGAAAGUAGAGGAGUUGCUUGAUUUUGUGAUUUAAUGGUGCAUCAAGUUAAUCCUUUUGAAGUUUGACUGGUCAUGUCUUUUAGGCCGUGAAUGGGCACAGUGUAAAACUUCAACCUGCGUAAACACGUCGUAGUGCGACGACACCCCCAAAGCCUCACAAAAAGAAAGAAAAAGCGAAGAAACGGUUCAGCAGCAGCAGCAGCAGCAUACCGGCUCAUCCUCCUCCUCCUCCGGUUGGUUCGAUACGUUUAUCGACGACGAAGAAAGAAGGGUGGUAUGCGAAGCGUUCCAGUUGAAAAUGGUUUUAGAGUCGCAGCUGGUACGAAACGAGGACCAGAUCAAAGAGACUGAAACUAAAAUUGCCCUGCUGCAGAGCGAGUUACAAGUGGCGCGCCUUCAUUCCGACGAAUGCAGAAAAAAACUUAAACAUUUUGCAAGUUUAGCAUCCUCUCUGCCCGCAUCAA